rnacentral:rRNA from 1 species
GAUGAACGCUGGCGGCGUGCUUAACACAUGCAAGUCGAGCGAUGAAGUUUCCUUCGGGAAACGGAUUAGCGGCGGACGGGUGAGUAACACGUGGGUAACCUGCCUCAUAGAGUGGAAUAGCCUUUCGAAAGGAAGAUUAAUACCGCAUAAUGUUGAAAGAUGGCAUCAUCAUUCAACCAAAGGAGUAAUCCGCUAUGAGAUGGACCCGCGGCGCAUUAGCUAGUUGGUGGGGUAACGGCCUACCAAGGCGACGAUGCGUAGCCGACCUGAGAGGGUGAUCGGCCACAUUGGGACUGAGAUACGGCCCAGACUCCUACGGGAGGCAGCAGUGGGGAAUAUUGCACAAUGGGGGAAACCCUGAUGCAGCAACGCCGCGUGAGUGAUGAAGGUUUUCGGAUCGUAAAGCUCUGUCUUUGGGGAAGAUAAUGACGGUACCCAAGGAGGAAGCACGGCUAACUACGUGCCAGCAGCCGCCGUAACAC